rnacentral:lncRNA from 1 species
AGAUGAAGACUAUUGCCCCCAUCCCCAAUGGACUACAAACCUAGGUCAGAACAAGAGGUAGACUGAAUACACCCACCACAACAGGCAUAAAUAACUUCUUUUAAAUAAAAAUAGAUUUAAAUUUAAAAAUCCUUUCUUAGAGGAGCAAAGACAAUGAGUGUAUACUUUGGAUAAAUAUCCAAGUCCCCCCUACCGCCCCCCAGUGUCCUGUCCUGUCCUGGUCCUUGUAGUCUCUUGUAUCUUGUGCAGAUUUCCAACCUGCAAACUCUGUAACCAAAUCCUCUUAGCCUCUCUCUCCUUCCCAGUAUCUCAAAACCUACAGUAUUCUGCAUGUAAAGGCUGCACAAUGUCUCAUAGCAAGUUGCUAUUUGCUGGGAUAGCUCUAAAGUUUUAAAUGAUUUUUUUCUGCACAAAAGGAGGCGCUUUUUCUUCAAACUGAGAGGAAUCCUUGCCUCUUGACACUAAUCCUGAAUAUUUCUAAAAAAAAAAAAAAAAAAAAAAAAAAAAAAAAAAAAAAAAAUCAAGAUAUGCCAUGUGUCCUUUUGGAUGGCUCUCAUGCCGCUUCAUUGUUUCUUCAAAAGCAUGGACAUGUCUCUUUUGUUAGAUGCCCUGUUUAUUUCAUUUCUCCUAAAAUUGGAGUCCUCUCCUUGUCAUUGAGCAUAUAAGGUCUGUUAGGAGGGACUGUGUUGUGUCGUGCGGCUAUUGCUGUUUCAUUGGGAAAUGAACUCACAACCAUGCGGAUCACCCAGAGGAUCCUGACUGAGUUCCCUCCCAGGGUCUGGUGUCUCAGGUUCUCAUCUCUGGUUUCUUUGAACUGUCUAGUAAACAGUGAGCUCUCCUGGGCUCCAAAGUUGGCACUCCCAACCCUGUAGCCUCAUUAUUUAACUAUCCAAGAACUAAAAACACUC